rnacentral:rRNA from 1 species
UACGAGAGGUGCGUGUGUUGUUCCUAAGUACUGGGCGUUAAGGGUAUGUAGGUUGUAAUUUAAGUUAGAGUAUUAUGUAAUGAAUCAUUUUCUCUAAUACUAUUUUACUUGAAUAAUAAAUAAAAUAAUCUAUGGAACUGUUAGUCUAAGGUUUAAAUCUAUUGGUAGAUAAGCAGGAAUGCCGAAAGCGAAAGCAAAUAUUUGUUUAUUAUUGACACUAAGAUACGAAGGUAUGGGGAUCAAAUGGG